rnacentral:piRNA from 1 species
UGAAAUUAAAUUCUAAUUUCUCUGUCAGAU